CCCUGCAUUCAGAAGUGAUUGUGGGCUGCCUGAACCCUGGCCAUUGAUAGGGCAGGAGGAGAAAUUGCUGAAAGCAUUUCCCCAUGUUUGGAGGGUCCACCCCUGUCUCUUCAAAUCCUGGAGCUUUCUCACA